rnacentral:lncRNA from 1 species
GCGGAUAGGGUGCCACGCUUGUGUGCGGAGCAGUGCUGCGGCUUUUGUCGGAGUUGAUUUCUGAGGUCCCCUGGCUCCGGGAAGCUGUUGUGGAGCGUUUCGGUCAGGUGGCUGCAGACGCAAGAGAUGUUUGAACCGCAGGCCGUUGAGUCCCCUGCUUUGGGUAGCUGCCUGCAAUCACAGGAUCUGACAUCUGGAAGGGGCUGUGGGAACGGUCCAGUUCAGCCCUGGAGAGCAACUCUGGGAGAGGCCUUGUGCAAGGUGAGGCGCCCAGGGGCUGAAGACGCAGCAGAGUCCAGGGCUGCCGGUCCCCAGGUCUCCCUUCUGCAUCCUUGAGGAACCCACUUUGUUCCCUUCCUCGCCCUCUUCCGAUUUCUACGUAAACCAGAAAGCCAAUGAGCAUCUUGGCUCAGGCUGUCCGAUCUGCUUUGCCUACCUGCUGCCCCCUCUACACCCCCUCCCGCUGUCUUCCUGGGCUCAUUCCUCACUGCCCACGCUGUCUGCUCAGGGUUCUGACACAGCAAGCACCUGCCACCUCAGGGCCUUUGCUCUGGCUGGUUACUCUUCUUGCAGGGCCCUUCCUCCAACACUUGCUAGCUAAAUGCCCCACCUUCUUCAAGUCUGCUCAGGCCUCCCCAGCUCCUCAGGAGGUGCCCUGGCCACCCUGUUUGGUACCACAACCGUCCCCACCACCACACCCACCCCAGCAACCUCAGUCCGAUGGCUUACUGUUUCCAUGUCACUCCUCCCCUUCUACUACCCUAUGUGACCUUCUUUUUUUUUUUUUUAAGAUUUAUUUAUUUGAAAGUCAGUGUUACACACAGAGAGAAGGAGAGGCACAGAGAGAGAGAGAGAGAGAGAGAGAGAGAGAGAGUUCUUCCAUCCACUGGUUCACUCUCCAAUUGGCCACAAUGGCGGGAGCUGGGCCAAUCCGAAGCCAGGAGUCAGGAGCCUCUUCUGGGUCUCCCAUGCAGGUGCAGGGGCCCAAGGACUUGGGCCACCUUCUACUGCUUUCCCAGGCCAUAGCAGAGAGCUGGAUCAGAAGUGGAGCAGCCGGGACUCGAACUGGUGCCCAUAUGGGAUGCCGGCACUGCAAUGCCACAGCACCAGCCUUGCGAUCUUAUUAUGCCUUUUUGUUUAUCACCCAGUUCCCCCAUUGGAAUCUAAGCCCUGUAAGGACAGAGAUUCUUAGUUUAUUCACUAGCACAGCCCCAGUGCCUGGAGCAGUGCUGGCACAGAGAAGGCACUCAAUAUUGGUGC